AUUGAACGCUGGCGGCAGGCCUAACACAUGCAAGUCGAGCGGAUGAAGGGAGCUUGCUCCUGGAUUCAGCGGCAGACGGGUGAGUAAUGCCUAGGAAUCUGCCUGGUAGUGGGGGAUAACGUCCGGAAACGGGCGCUAAUACCGCAUACGUCCUGAGGGAGAAAGGGGGGGAUCUUCGGACCUCACGCUAUCAGAUGAGCCUAGGUCGGAUUAGCUAGUUGGUGGGGUAAAGGCCUACCAAGGCGACGAUCCGUAACUGGUCUGAGAGGAUGAUCAGUCACACUGGAACUGAGACACGGUCCAGACUCCUACAGGAGGCAGCAGUGGGGAAUAUUGGACAAUGGGCGAGAGCCUGAUCCAGCCAUGCCGCGUGUGUGAAGAAGGUCUUCGGAUUGUAAAGCACUUUAAGUUGGGAGGAAGGGCAGUAAGUUAAUACCUUGCUGUUUUGACGUUACCAACAGAAUAAGCACCGGCUAACUUCGUG
rnacentral:rRNA from 1 species